AAUAGAGGAGCGGAUGAACAAAAGUACCGUGCGCGCGGACAAAAGGCAGAUUUUGGUGCGCGGGAAAGGGUAUCUCCGCCGAAGCGCCGUUCGUUUGCCCGAACGGUUCGCUGGGCGCAAAGGUCAAUACCCUUGCGACUGUCACCGACGUGGAGAACUAUUU
rnacentral:ncRNA from 1 species